rnacentral:lncRNA from 1 species
GGGAAUGUGUCAAAGAGACAACAACCCGACCAUAGAAAAAACAACAGCAGAAGGUCACCAACAGGUCUUCAAUGUAGCGAGAAAUUCCCGCACCCGGAGAGGUCCUUCAGCUGGCCCCUAAACAAAUAUAUACUAGUUCAGUGAUAAUGAACGCCAUACUAAUUUCCAAAUUGUACACAAGAAACUAAAAUUAAAAUAAUACAAGACUAACAAAGGCCAGAGGCUCCUGACUUGGGACAGGCGCAAAAAUGCGGCGGGGUUAAACAUGUUUGUGAGAUCUCAACCCUCCCCCAUACCUCUAGCCAAUGUAGAAAAGUAAACGCAUAACAAUACGCACAUUAAAACUCAGUUCAAGAGAAGUCCGAGU